rnacentral:SRP_RNA from 1 species
CGGUGCUCAGGCGGGGAGGUAGCGGUGCCCUGUUGCCCGCAAUCCGCUAUAGCGGGGCCGACAUCCCCGGCCGAGGCCGGGCCGCCGUUCGCGAGCGUUUGCAUUCGCCGGUGUUGAAGGCCGGGUCCUGUGCAAGGCCGGCGCGCCGAACCCCGCCAGGCCCGAGAGGGAGCAACGGCAGGCGUGUUUGACCUGUGCCGCGGGGUUGCCUGGCCGGAGCCGCGACGCGACGCGACGUGGACGGGCUGGUGGUCGAACCGGGGCGCACCG